rnacentral:misc_RNA from 1 species
UCCGAGUUGACCCCGGCAGUCUCCCAUGAGUCCCCGCCAUUACGCGCUGGCAACAUGGAACGAGGGUUGCGCUCGUUGCGGGACUUAACCCAACAUCUCACGACACGAGCUGACGACAACCAUGCACCACCUGUCACCGGCCCCCGAAGGGACCCCCCAUCUCUGAAGGAUUACCGGCGAUGUCAAACCCAGGUAAGGUUCUUCGCGUCGCAUCGAAUUAAUCCGCAUGCUCCGCCGCUUGUGCGGGCCCCCGUCAAUUCCUUUGAGUUUUAGCCUUGCGGCCGUACUCCCCAGGCGGGACACUUACUGCGUUAGCGCCGGCACGGCAGGGGUCAACUCCCGCCACACCUAGUGUCCAUCGUUUACUGCGUGGACUAC